GCCCAGGUGGUGAAAUUGGCAGACACGCGAGCUUUAGGAGCUCGUGCCGAAAGGCGUAGAGGUUCAAAUCCUCUCCUGGGCA
rnacentral:tRNA from 1 species